UCAGGACAGGCAGGUCGCACCAAGCCACUCAACUUGGGCUGGAGCCUGGCUGAGGGCCUCCUGACCUUGACUUUCAAGACACCCGAACUCAGAGAUGGGGGCUUAGACCUGCUUCUCCACUCGGUCUCCUCUUCUGACACUGGGGACUACUUGUCCUGGCUCAGUUUCUCCAGAGGGGGCUGAACCGGGGAGUUGGUGAGGACUCCUCCCCUGUUGGACUCUGACUCCUCUGUCCCUCAGCCAGGGAGGCCAGCAGCCUGCAGAGUGGCUGGGCUCCUGAGGGCAGGAAAGUUUCCCUGGAGUGCUGGUGUUGCAGAGCAUGGCGCACAGACAGGGGACAGCCCAGCCUUGGAGCACGCACCACCUGGGUCUCAGCCUCUCUUUCCACAUCUACACGGAACUAGCCUCUCCAGAUGAUGCAUGAAAGACCGAGAGGGAAGGAAGAAGGACCCCCACUGAAGGAUAUGGAAAUAUCCUUUUAAACACAUGUCCCAGGCCCCAGGAAGAAAAGGAGGACAAUGGGUUCCAGGGACAGAAGGAAAACAUGGGCUCUGGACUCCCUCAGUAUCCUGCAUCUACAACUGUCCCCCCGACUGCCCAACACAUUCUGCUGUGAAUCAGUCUCACUAAACCCUAUAAAGCUCAGAUCCCUCUUGUACCACUUGCCAUUUUUUCUCUUGAAAAUGUGCUUAAUAAAGCAUGGCUGAUCCGUCGA